GCGGUAGCUCAGUGGUCGAACACCUGCUUUUCAUGCAGAAGGCCCCAGGUUCAAUUCCUGGUGUCUCCA